GGGAGAACAGACAUUGCAUUAAUCCAAGUGCCUGCAGGAGGGACCUUCUGUCUGCAGGGAGAUGGACAGAGAUCGGGCGCAUCUUUCCCACGUGCAGUUUUCUAUGAUUCACCAGCAAUAGAAGAAGCCUUGCUGCUUCUCUCAGGUAAAAAUCCACUUUCUCUCUGCUCUCUCAGCCUACCAGGCUGAAAUUUGCCCAAGCUGCUCGCUGCGGUGUGUGGAAAGGAAAGGCACCGCCCUGCUGAGAGGAAACAGUUUGACCACACUCAGAUGGUAAAUAUAGUUCCCCUGAGCUGCUGGUGAGGCAGCUGCUAAUGAAUGGCUGCUCUCCCUUCCUGGCCUCCUUAAUUGAGAGAUCAGAGGAAAUAACACCUGGCAGCAAACCCGGAGGCCACAGAGAUCUUUGCACCACCACAACCUGCAGCCACCGCCAUCCCUCUGCCCCAGGAGCGCUGAGCAGCAGCGGCAUCACCGUGGUAACCGCUGGAGGGAGGUGGGAUUGGUGGCAGUGGGCUGCAGGCUUCCCUUCUUUCUGCUGGGUGUGGGGAAUUCUGUGCAAUCCAGAGGGGACGGAGAGGAGAGGAAUCCCACCUGCAACCCCCUGGACUGUGUGGGCUGUUGUAAAUCUUGUCCCCGAAUCCACUACAUCGUCCCAGAGAGCCCUCCCACCUUGCAGGGGAUUAAAACAUGAGUUGAACAGCAGUUCGUUGGGCUCACAGAUUUAACUUUCCAUUCAGAGAUUUCAAGCCAGACCUGGAGCGGUGUCAGAUGCACAGCUCCAUCUGAGCACAGCAGCAGGGCUGCGGUACUGUCCUGCA
rnacentral:lncRNA from 1 species